rnacentral:lncRNA from 1 species
CCGGUAACAUAUAGCACAUAAUUUACUAUAUCUGGAUGACAAAUGGAAAAAUAUAGUUGGUGUGGUUUGCUUGGAUGAGCCAAUGAGAAACGACUCAAAGUUUUGGAGAGUUAACUAAGUCUUCCCCUUUAUUAUUUUGGUACACGACAAAAAUUAAAGCCAUGGAGAAGGAUAUGUUACCAAAAUUUUUCUUGCCUUUAUUAUGUCCUUUGGAAAAACAUGAGGAUCUGGAAUGGAUAAAAAAUGGUGCUAUGGAAUGAGAAAAUUUAUGUUGACAAGAAUAACUGAGUUCAUAGAGUAAAUAUGCAGGUGCUUGUACUUAUAAAUGAGGGAUUA